rnacentral:lncRNA from 1 species
AUUUCCUCCUGUGGUUGCUCUUGCCCCGCCCCUUAGCGUAGCGUAGAGGAAAAGACGCCGUGGGCCGCUCUGGCAUCUUGGAGGACUUGUCCUCUGUGUCGGGCGGCGUGGGGUUGUUCCGGUCUGUCGUGAGGUGCAAGUCCGGUACGUCUUUCUAGCUGCUUCAGCUCCGGAUUUUUUUUGGCGAUGGGACAUCAGAACGUGUGGAGGCUAAUGUCGAGGUAAGUGCCAAGGGCAGCUCAUCACCU